rnacentral:rRNA from 1 species
AAGCGUUAUCCGGAAUUAUUGGGCGUAAAGCGUCCGCAGGUGGACAUACAAGUCUGCUGUCAAAGUGCAGAGCUUAACUCUGUAAAGGCGGUGGAAACUGUAGGUCUUGAGUAUGGUAGGGGUAGAGGGAAUUCCCGGUGUAGCGGUGAAAUGCGUAGAUAUCGGGAAGAACACCAGUGGCGAAAGCGCUCUACUGGGCCAUAACUGACACUGAGGGACGAAAGCUAGGGGAGCGAAAGGG